rnacentral:misc_RNA from 1 species
GAUGAAGAACGCAGCGAAAUGCGAUAAGUAAUGUGAAUUGCAGAAUUCAGUGAAUCAUCGAAUCUUUGAACGCACAUUGCGCCCGCUAGUAUUCUGGCGGGCAUGCCUGUCCGAGCGUCAUUUCAACCCUCAAGCCCCCGGGCUUGGUGUUGGGGAUCGGCGAGCCUCCGCGCCCGCCGUCCCCUAAAUCUAGUGGCGGUCUCGCUGUAGCUUCCUCUGCGUAGUAGCACACCUCGCACUGGGAAACAGCGCGGCCACGCCGUUAAACCCACAACUUCUGAACGUUUGACCUCGGAUCAGGUAGGAAUACCCGCUGAACUUAAGCAUAUCAAUAAGCGGAGGA